UGAAUUUAUUGUCAACAAAAACAAACCAUUUGUUCUAAUAAUAGUAUUUUUUUGGUGUGUAGAAUCCAUUAUAUUGUUGAAUUCUAAAGCUGAGGGUUGUUGAUCGGAGUUUUUUCGGAUCGGGGAUCAAUUGCGAUAUUAUAUCGUUGAUCCGCAGUAUCGCAAUCGGUCCUGAUCUUUAUAUCGCUAUAUCGUAACAGAAAUAGCAAAAAAAAUAUAUGAUCGGAUCAAUUUGUACAAAAUUACAUAUCAUGUAAUAGUGCUGUGAUUCUCGAGGCUGGUCUUUGUCUUGAAGCUGCUCAGGAGGCUGUAUUUUUAUAGUUUUGUUCUUGUCUCGGUCUCGCCACAUCAAAGUCCUGGUCUUGGUAUUGAGUCUAAUGGGCUCGUUCUUAGUCUUGGUCUCAAAAUAAAAAUACUAGUCUUGGUAUUCUGAAUCAAAACGCUAUCAGUUUGUUGUUGCUAGGUAAUUGACUGAGAAUGGAUCGUUUUGUUAUCAGAAAAAGAAGUUCGGAAUCAAAUCCAUCUACGUCAAAUACAAGUGUAAGUACGCCAUCCGAAACAGGAAGUUCUAAUUCUACAAGUAGUACUAGUAUUACUGCCAAAUUGAUGUCUGAACCACCAAGUAAGAAUAAAAAUAAAUUAUGAACGCGACAGUAUAAUGAUUCCUUUUUUAAAUUUGGUUUUUUAUAUUGGGCUAACGCAAAUCAGGAUGCUAAGCCCCAGUGUGUUGGGUGCAGCGUGAAAAGUGAAAAUACAUUUAGAGACGAAACACGGGGAACUCGUGGGUAAGCCUAUCGAGUAUUUUCAACAGAAGCAACGUGAGUUAAAGUUAUUGGCUCAAGUUCUUAAUCGCUCAACUACCUUGAAUGACAAUGCACAACUGUCCCAACUGUUUAUCCAAAUCCAUCAGGGCUGCCCACAGCUAUUCUUAUAAAACCUAACCGGUAGAUAGCAUUAUUUUCAUCAACGAAUACUAUAAUCUACAGGAAAUGAAAGUAAAAACACGCCUUCACUAAAGUUCCAAAUAACUCUAGUCUUCUAUGAAUCAGUCUACGGACCGACUCCGUCUCUUCCCCCACCCAAUUGUCCAUAAGUAUAGUUGAAAUGUUUGUAAUGAAAAAACUACCUUUAAAAAUAAGAAGA
rnacentral:lncRNA from 1 species